rnacentral:rRNA from 1 species
UUUGAGUGGCGGACGGGUGAGUAACGCGUGGGUAACCUGCCUUACACAGGGGGAUAACACCUGGAAACAGGUGCUAAUACCGCAUAAGCGCACAGGGCCGCAUGGCCCGGUGUGAAAAACUCCGGUGGUGUAAGAUGGACCCGCGUCUGAUUAGCUUGUUGGCGGGGUAGGGGCCCACCAAGGCGACGAUCAGUAGCCGGCCUGAGAGGGUGGACGGCCACAUUGGGACUGAGACACGGCCCAGACUCCUACGGAAGGCAGCAG